rnacentral:rRNA from 1 species
GACGAACGCUGGCGGCGUGCUUAACACAUGCAAGUCGAACGGUAAGGCCCUUCGGGGUACACGAGUGGCGAACGGGUGAGUAACACGUGGGUGAUCUGCCCUGCACUUCGGGAUAAGCCUGGGAAACUGGGUCUAAUACCGGAUAGGACCACUGCCUGCAUGGGUGGUGGGGGAAAGCUUUUGCGGUGUGGGAGGGGCCCGCGGCCUAUCAGCUUGCUGGUGGGGUGAUGGCCUACCAAGGCGACGACGGGUAGCCGGCCUGAGAGGGUGACUGGCCACACUGGGACUGAGAUACGGCCCAGACUCCUACGGGAGGCAGCAGUGGGGAAUAUUGCACAAUGGGCGCAAGCCUGAUGCAGCGACGCCGCGUGAGGGAUGACGGCCUUCGGGUUGUAAACCUCUUUCAGCACCGACGAAGCGCAAGUGACGGUAGGCGCAGAAGAAGGACCGGCCAACUACGUGCCAGCCGCCGCGGUAA